rnacentral:lncRNA from 1 species
GGAUGCAGGUAAUUUAAUCAUAGAAACAUUUAUGGCAGCAUCGGCAUCCUCCAACACGAUUAGUAAGCAUGUCUAUUAUAGAGCACCAGAAGUUUGGCAACAACGGUCCUUUCACUCCCCUUGAAAAUAUGUAUGUACAACCCUCCGCAUAUCAUAAAUAUUCAGCAAUACAUACCAAAGCUGUAGUUGAUCUGUACAAACACAAUUUACACGGAAGGAAGAACAUUAUGUUUCCUAAGAUUUUCUUUGCAGAUAUGUGGUUCACAAUUCAGCAAGAGCAUGCCAUCACUGAUGAUGCAUGAGUACAAUGACAUGCAUUCUGUACUCAGUACCAAUGCACACACAGGAAGUGAUCAGACCCUAGAGUACUAUGCGUUUGCUUGACAACAUUAUUUGCCUCCUCUUGGGUUGGUUUGUCCUGUCAUUAUGAAAAGGAAGUUUAGGUUCUUGUAGGAAAAAUAUCUAACAUGUGGCAUACACCAACGUGUAAUCUCAAAACUGAAAAUUUGUUGGAAUUGAUCCAGUUAUUGAGCAUGCCAUGCUACAGAUAUGGAGGGAGAGAUUAACGAAUGAAUUUCUAUCCCUGAUGGUAGACAAAGCUAACUGCUCACAGAACAAUUCACACUCUGAUAUUAUGGGCAUAUACUAAAGCAUUUUGAGAAGCACAAACUUAAGCAAAGAGACCAUGAAUCUAUUUUGGUACGCUUCUUCUGUAGCUAUCACUUCAGGUAUCAAAAUGUUGAUGUGACAUCUGGUGUUCGAAGUAGAUUUGAAUGCUAGCAUACCUGAAAACUAUGCCAACAUUUUUUCUUUUGGACCUUCUUUAAGUAGGUGAGUAUUUUUCGGAUAACAACUCUGCUUUACCUCAAAAUUGAUCAACCAGUGUGCCAAUGAAUAGAGCUAUAGAAUUCAGUAAAGUAUGUACUCAUGUACUCCAGAUCCUUGCGAUUCGAACAGUGAACUUCCAACGAUAGGACUGCCUCUCACGUCCUUUCGCGGCGGGACUCCAUCGAUUAAUUCCUGCUGAUGUAAAAAGAGAAAGUGAUUAAUAUAGGAUAGUUAUAGAUUAGCCACCAAGAAAAAAGGCAAAUACAAAAGGAAAAAUAAGCUGUAAUAGUUAUCCAUUGCUUAGUCUAAAGAGAGAGCACAUGCAACAAUGCAUUUUUUAUCACUUAUAAUUGUUUCUACUAAUUUCCCUUAUCCAAAUAACCUGGCAAAUUGUACUCACAAACUAAACAUGCACAUAUUAUUGAUAGCCCAGUUCAAUUCUUUAAACAUAUGUUACCUAAACUAUUUCAAAAUCACUAGGAAACUAAGCAUAUAUGACAUGUACAGUGACUUGUAACAACAUAUGAACCAACUAUGUCACUGAUCCUGAUGCAUAUAGAUGAGUGAGUGUGAUAUGUCAUUAUAAUAUGCAACAACACUCAAGUGUGUACUGUUUUAGGCUGCAUGACAUGCUUUCAUAAAAAACAGAUCUUGCUGAUAUAAAAGAAACCCAUUGUUCAUUAUUUGCUUUAUUGGUACCAAGGAAAUGCAAGAACAUGAGUUACCGCUUCUAUUGUCUUAUUCAACCUGGGGAAAUUAUGACCACAAGCUAUGCAAUGUGUUCUUAUCUCCAUGCUAUCCCUCGCGCUUUCAGGUAGCUCAAGUCACACUCAUUGUGUCUAUCGACAGGCCCAUACCAAUAAAUUUUCAAACAUGUUUAUGAUGAAAAUACAAAUAUUUCAAAUCAAUAGAAUAGAAAAAAUAGUUACAAAUUUAUUGUUCCAUGGCAACUCCUUGUUUCUAAAUUAAGUACCGGUUCAGUUGUCUAAAGUUGACUUUCGUACUUAUCUAUAAUCAUAAGAAGUAAAACAAAGAUAUUUUUGUUUAGGACAGUCACUUAAAAUGUAAAAUACCCUAAUAAAAAAGAACUUACACCAAAGUUUAGCUGAGUGCAACUGAAAAAAUAGUGAAAUUUACUAUUUUUUUAGUGCCAGGUCGAUUGUCAUAGAUCAUAUCUGACUCAGUUAGCCGAUGAAUGGUUCAUUUCAUAAAGUCAAAAUAUAUAUACAUACUUUCAAGUGUGUAGUACUCCAUAAGUUUUUUUAAUUAACAUGCACAACGGCUAAAUGCAUAACUGAACAUACAUUAAAACCUAGAAGGUCCCUGAUGGCUGAUAUUUAGACUAAUCUACAUGGUCUGGAAGCUAAAUCACUAUGGAUAACAGAACAUCUCCAGGCAAGACCAGAGGAUCUCAGUCUAUUUCCCUAUCGGAUAAAAUCUCAAAGAGCAAGAUUAUAGCAAAAAGGAAGCGUACCAUCAUGAAGUAAUACAUGAG